rfam:Flavobacterium sp. LM5 Flavobacterium_sp_LM5_contig3, whole genome shotgun sequence.
UUUUAGCCCUGAUGGGAGUGGCAUCCUUUGCCGCCAGGGUUCAGCGGGAAAGAUAGAACGGACAGCAGGAGGAGUC